ACAUUCAGUCUGGCCCCAUACCACCCUGAGUGUGCUGGAUCUCAUCAGAUCUUGGAAGCUAAGCAGGGUUGGGCCUGGUUCGUACUCGCACGGAAGACCACGCGAUUGAAUAUA
rnacentral:rRNA from 1 species